rnacentral:rRNA from 1 species
UACGAAGGGUGCAAGCGUUGUUCGGAUUUACUGGGCGUAAAGCGUCCGUAGGUGGUUUGUUAAGUCAGUGGUGAAAUCCCAGGGCCCAACCCUGGAACCGCCUUUGAUACUGGCAAACUGGAGCGUGAUAGAGGAAGAUGGAAUAUCUGGUGUAGGGGUGAAAUCCGUAGAUAUCAGAUGGAACACCAAUGGCGAAGGCAGUCUUCUGGAUCAUUGCUGACACUGAGGGACGAAAGCGUGGGGAGCAAACAGAAUUAGAUACUCUGGUAGUCCACGCCCUAAACGAUGCAUGCUUGUUGUUGGGUUCCUUCGGGGAUUCAGUGACGAAGCUAACGCGUUAAGCAUGCCGCCUGGGGAGUACGAUCGCAAGAUUAAA